GGCCUCUUGCCCCUGGUGUUGCUGGGGAUCCCAUUGCUCCUCAGCCAGGGCUAGAGGCCAAGAUCAGCCCUGGAGGGGCAUUGUCAGUGCUGCUGCAAGCAGGCAGCCUUGUUUCCCUGCCUCAGACACAU
rnacentral:snoRNA from 1 species